rnacentral:rRNA from 1 species
UACGGAGGGUGCAAGCGUUGUUCGGAAUCACUGGGCGUAAAGCGCGUGUAGGCGGUCCGCUAAGUCUGGUGUGAAAGCCCGGGGCUCACCCCCGGAAGUGCACUGGAAACUGACGGACUCGAGUCCCGGAGAGGAGAGUAGAAUUCCUGGUGUAGCGGUGAAAUGCGUAGAUAUCAGGAGGAAUACCGGUGGCGAAGGCGGCUCUCUGGACGGUGACUGACGCUGAGAAGCGAAAGCGUGGGGAGCAAACAGG